ensembl:snoRNA SNORD83B small nucleolar RNA, C/D box 83B
GCUGCUCAGUGAUGAGGCCUGGAAUGUGCGCUGGGCACAGCGCCCGAGACAGACUGCGGACCCAUUCUUGUUGCCCUGCUUCUGAGAACAGU